GGGGCUUUCUAGCUGGGGAGACAGAGAGAAGUUUGGGGGAAGGGGGCUCAGGUUAGCAGCUGUUUAAAAAUGCGCUGGUGGCAGCUUUGGGGUCCCAGUGGCAGUUUAUAGUUUGAAGGAAAGGGAUGGAUGGCCUCUUUUCCCAUCCCAAUCCAAGUCCCCCCUCCCCCCACCCUCCAGCUGAAUGCCAGAUGCAGCCCAUCCCGCCUGGGUGGGACCAGGAUGGAGCUAAGGCCAUGACCUUGACCGCAGAGCUCUACCAUUCCAUGUCCACUGCCAGUUACUUGGGAUGAAAGUGAAGAAAUACUUUUAGCUUUGGCAUUGCUGUGUGGCAUCUUCAGACUGGAAAAGUUGGAGCAAUUUUCAGGGAGAAAACUAAGCAAGACAUUCAAAGACUAAAGACGAAUCAGCCGGGUGCUGUGAAAAGAGCCAUGAAGUUUAGAGUCAGACUGGAAGACAUGGAUGCAAGUUCUACUACUUUUACUCGAAGAAAUAAACCGUGUGCAAAUCAGUUUCCCCUUCUCUGAGGCCUCAGGCUUCUCAUCUGAAAGAUGGGAACAAUAAUAAUAAUAAUAAUAUUGGCAUUCUCUACUCUGGAGAGUUGUUGUAAGGACCAAGUGAGACUUGCCAAUGUGAUGCGUUUUAUAAAAUGCUACAAAAAUAGGAACUUUUUUUCUUAAUAAAGAUGGCAGAUACCAUUCUCAAGACACUCAUAA